CCUACGGGUGGCAGCAGUGAGGAAUAUUGGUCAAUGGCCGUAAGGCUGAACCAGCCAAGUCGCGUGAAGGAAGAAGGAUCUAUGGUUUGUAAACUGCUUUAGACAGGGAAGAAAACAGACAGUACCUGUAGCAUAAGCUCCGGCUAACUACGUGCCAGCAGCCGCGGUAAUACGUAGGGAGCAAGCGUUAUCCGGAUUUAUUGGGUGUAAAGGGUGCGUAGACGGAGAAGCAAGUUAGUUGUGAAAUCCCUCGGCUUAACUGAGGAACUGCAACUAAAACUACUUCCCUUGAGUACUGGAGAGGAAAGUGGAAUUCCUAGUGUAGCGGUGAAAUGCGUAGAUAUUAGGAGGAACACCAGUGGCGAAGGCGACUUUCUGGACAGUAACUGACGUUGAGGCACGAAAGUGUGGGGAGCAAACAGGAUUAGAUACCCUUGUAGUC
rnacentral:rRNA from 1 species